rnacentral:snRNA from 1 species
CUGAUCACCUGGUAGGGGAGAUACCGUGAUCAUGAAGGUGGUUUUCCCAUGGCGAGCCUUACCCAUCGUGCUACAGAUGUGCUGACCCCUGCGAUUUCCUCAAAUGUGGGAAACUCGACUGCCUAAUUUGUGGUAGUGGGGGACUGCGUUCGCGCUUUCCCGGG